rnacentral:lncRNA from 1 species
AAAUUGAAGAAAGUUCUGACUGAGGCCCCUGUCUUAAUACAAUCAGAGUCUGGGAAGGAAUUCACUGUCGACAGUGAUGCAUCACACGUUGGUUUGGGUUGUGUGCUGGUGUAGGAGGGUAAGGUGGUUGCUUAUGAGUCUCGUUAGCUUAAGCCUCACGAGGCGAAUUACCCUACUCAUGAUUUGGAGUUAGCUGCGGUGGUAUUCGCACUAAAAAUUUAAAGGCAUUAUCUCUACGGUGAGAAGUCUACUAUCUACACAGAUCACAGAAGUCUUAAGGAUGUCCUCACUUAGAACGAGUUGAAUCUUAGGCAGCGAAGAUGGAUAGAGCUGUUUAAGGAUUAUAAUUGCUUUAUUGAAUACCAUCUUGGGAAGGCUAAUGUAGUAGCGGACGCACUAAGCCGUAGGCUGUAUCUGAUUUGAGAGUGAUGUUUGCUCAGCUCAGCCUGUUUGAUGAUGGUAGUUUGUUGGCUAAGUUGCAAAUUAGACCGACGUGGACUAAACAGAUUAAGAGUAAAUAGUUGUUGGAUGAGUCACUAGUUCCUCGUUUCUGUCAGGUUGAGAAUGGGGAAACUUCAAGUUUUGGAUUGAAUAGUGAAUGAGUACUGUGUUUCCGUGGGAGAGUUUGUGUACCGAGAGAUAAUGAUUUGAGGCAGUCUAUUCUACGAGAGGCGUAUAAUAGUCAUUUUGCUAUGCAUCCUGGUGGGAAUAAAACGUAUCGUGACCUUCAUGAGUUAUAUUGGUGGCCUAGUCUGAAAUGUGAAGUAACUGAUUUCGUGGGUAAGUGUUUAACUUGUCAGCAAAUGAAGGCUGAACAUCAGUUACCUUCAGGGUUGCUUCAGCCGGUGAAAAUUCCACUUUGAAAGUGGGAGAGAGUAACCAUGAAUUUUGUGAGUGGGCUACCCUUAAAGCCUACCAAGAAGGAUUCGGUAUAGGUCAGCAUUGAUUGGUUGACUAAAUCUGCCUAUUUCAUACCAGUCUAUACUGAUUACUCCUUGCAGAGGUUGGCUAAGCUGUAUGUGGCUAAGAUUGUAAGACUGUAUUGGGUACCGGUUUCUAUUAUAUCAGAUAGAGAUCCUCGAUUCACAUCUUGAUUUUAGAAGAAGUUACACGAGGCUUUGGGUAUAAGACUGGACUUUAGUAUUGCGUUUCAUCCCUAAGCAGAUGGUCAGUCUGAAAGGGUGAUUCAAAUACUGGAGGUUAUGUUAAGGUGUUGUAUAGUGGAUUUUCGAGGCAACUGAGAAGAUUAUUUACCGCUAGCAGAGUUUGCGUAUAAUAAUAGCUACCAUUCUUGUAUCCAAAUGGCACCGUAUGAGGCGUUAUAAGGUCGUAGAUGUCGUACUCCUACCUAUUGGACUAAACUAGGCGAGCGGCGAGUUUUGGGGCCAGAGUUAGUUUUUGAUACCGAAGCAAAGGUAAAAUUGAUUCGAGACCGAUUGGAGGAAGCAUCUGAUAAGAAAAAAGUCCUACGCGGAUCUUAAAUGUCGAGAGAUUGAGCAUUCUGUAGGGGACUUCAUAUUUCUCAAGGUCUCCCCAUGGAAAAAGAGACUGAGGUUUGGACGGAAGGGUAAGUUAGCCCUAGGUUCAUUGGGCCUUACCAUAUACUGAAGCGUGUGGGGCCAGUGCAUGUCAGCUUGAGUUUCCUUCAGAAUUGGACAAAAUUUAUGAUGUGUUCCAUGUCCCUAUGCUGAGACGUUAUCGCUUUGAUCCUACACACAUAGUGCCAGUCAAGGAGAUCGAGGUUAGGCCAGAUCUGACUUUCGAGGAGGAGCCUGUGCAGAUUUUGGACCGUGAGGUUAAAGUACUAAGGAAGAAAUCCAUUCCUCUAGUUAAAGUGCUUUGGCGUAAUCAUAAUUCAGAAGAAGCCACAUGGGAACCCGAAAAGGCGAUGCGACAAUAAUACCCUCAUCUUUUUUGAUCAGGUAAAUUUCAAGGCCAAAAUUUCGUUAAGGGGGUAGAGUUGUAAUGCCUCAAAUUUUCAAUUCUUUCAUUUUUGCAUGAUUUGUCACUGAUUGCUUGUUUGCCUUAAUGGUUAAGUGAUUUGGGUGUCUAUGGGAGUGUUUGAGAAGCCUGGGUUCAAGUCUUGUCCUUGGCACAAUUUUUGGUUUUUCUCUUAAAUGAAUCUGGACACUGGCACUUAGGCCUUAUAUAUAUUAAUACUUGUUUUAUGAUGCAAAGAGCUUAUUGGUCCAGUGGUAGGUGGCGUGUGAAGUAUCCUUGAGGUUUGAAGUUCAAGUCCUGGGUUGUGCAAGGUAGUAAUUAUUUUGCUGCUUGAGCUGUGUAGGUAGUGGUGUUAGACUGAAACACAGUUGUGGAGAGUUUGAAUGGAUUUUUAAUUGAGUGGCUGGGGAAGUUGAGGAGGAAUUGGUGGAGAAAAUCAAAGAGGGAUAAUGGGAGAGUUUUUAGGAAGAAAUCAAGGAGUUUGAGAGUGAGGGGGAGUUAUGCCGUUUGGGGGUAGGCUUGUGCCGAAAUUGGUCUUUAGGCUUUGUGGGAAUCAGUUUUGGGGGCUUUUUGUCUUUCCGUCUGCUUUGAUUUGGUUAGGUUUUGUUUCACCUUUUGCUUGUGCCGAAUAUUGCUAAAGACUACGGGUACCUUUCGGGUUUGCUUAUUUGUUUUCUUGCUUUUCCUUUUAUUCUUUUUGUUUUCUCUUUUUGUUUUUGUUUUGACCGAAUAGUUCGUUAGUCCCCUCUGCCGAAUCCCUUUCUCCUUCCUUUUCUCUGGGUUGUCGAAUCUUCUCUUCUCUCUUCCCCUCUUCUCUUUAUUGCUUUUCCCUCUCCCCUACUUUUUCCCAGACCUUGCCGAAUUUUUACUCCAUCUCCACUCCAGAUACUUUUAAAGAGAGUAUUGGCGUUGUUUCUUCUCUGUCUCCUCGGUCGAGUGUUGAUAGGUGAGUUCUGCGACACCCUUUUUCUGGUUCGGUUUGCGCUUUUCUAUCCAUUGAUCUUUCAUUUCUUUUCCCUGGCUUGUCUCUUUUUCGUUUUCAGAUUCCCUUUUUGAUUUGCUUUUACUUGUGCUUCAAGUUGCACUCUACCCUGUCAACCGUUUGGUAGGUGAGUAAGUGUUUGUUAUUCGUUGUUUGGGAUGUGAUUUGAAUGAAUGUAUGUACAUUAUUGGGUUACAUAGUUAAGCGAAAUGCGACCUAAGUGUUGGAAGUAAAGGGUUUUGUGGCUUUUGUGCUAGGUGGAGUUCAAGAGUUGGUUGGUGUUUCUCCAAGGAGCUGAGGGUGCGGUUCGGUUAUUUUUGGUGAGGGGCCUCGAAUACUGAUUCUUCCUUAGCAUCAUUUGGCUUUGUUUGAUUAGCGAAUUUUGUAGUUAAUGAAAUGUCAUUUUGUUGAAUAUAGGUUGGUGUACGUAGAGAUUUGCGCUUUUCUGUCGAAUUCAAGUGUGUAAUCACCCCACUGUAAUUGUAGAUCGGCGAAAAGCCGAAAAGCUGUAAACAUGGCAUUUAUGACCACAAGGGCAUGCGAUCGCUCGAAUGGUAAGCCCAACUUGCGAUUCGUGGGUAAAUGACCAAAAUACCCUCGAAGGGUAAAAUGACCAAAAUACCCCUAAAAGGUAAAAUAACCGAAAUACCCUCGAAGGAUAAAAUGACCGAAAUACCCCCAAAGGGUAAAAUGAUCGAAAUACCCUCGAAUUGUAAAAUGAUCGAAAUACCCCCAAAGGGUAAAAUGACCGAAAUACUCUUGAAGGGUAAAAUGAUCGAAAUACCCCCGAAGGGUAAAAUAACUAAAAUACCUCCGAAGGGUAAAAUGCCCGAAAUACCCCUAUAGGGUAAAAUGAUCAUUAUACCCCUAGGAGAUGAAAUAUUAUAAUGGUCGUAUGCUAUGUAUGACCUUUUUGCUUUAUGAUAUAUACGAUUGUUACUGAGUAUGACAUACUGCAUACACGUAUGAUUUAUGACAUGACAUACUGCAUGGAGUUGGGAUUCUGAUAUAGGGGAAGUAUACUGUACUGGUGGCUAUGCCACAUAUACUGUUACUGGCAACUUUGCUGCAUUACUAUUACUGGCAGCUUUCUUGCGUUAUUAUUACUGGCAGCUUUGCUGCGAUAUUGGUGUGUUGGCUGAGUGGGUCGGUUUUAUCCCCACAUGGUGUGUUGGUGGUAUGGAGUGGUGUGUUGGUUGGAUUGGAAUAGGUGUCAUCGCUGCAUUGUACUGAUUACUGUAUUGGGAUAAGGCUCACAUUGUUACUGUAUUGGGCUAAGACCCACACUGUUACUGUAAUGGGCUAAGGCCCACACUGUACUGAUACUGUAUAGGGCUCAGGCCCAGAUUGAUUCUACAUGUUGCAUAGUGAUUGGCUAGUAGGGGAUUACACACUAAGUUUCGUAAACUCACCCUCUCCUUUUAACUGUGCAGGUAAUUCUCAACCUUAGACGAUUUGGGGCUGCGAGGGACUCGGAGGUGGCCACACAACUACUAUCGAUGUUUACAUUUGCUUUUAUUUUACUUUAAAUUAUAAGUUGGGUUUUGUUUUGUAAUAAGGCCUUUAAUUUGGGGUUUUAAAUUUUAAUUGGGCUUUUGCUUACAUAUUUUAUACCGCUAGUUAGGUGAAAAAGAAUUUUUAAAAUAAUCACUAUUUUUAAAGACACGAACUUUAAACGUUAGAGUUUUCAAAUUCUUUCGUGAUUUAAAUCAACUUAAUAUUAUAAUAGUAGUUAAUAAGGCAAACAUUUGGUUAAAUGUUCCGUUAAACAUUACUAAAGGGGUUUCCAAACUUAAGAAAUGAGUUUUAUCAACAAGUGUAAAUCUUGAGAGACACUUCUAUGUGACGCACCAGAGACGGCCAUAACGUGUAGGCUGGGUUUGGGGUGUUACAUCUUUUGGUGCCAUGCCAUAGGGCGCAGUGGACACCGGUGUAGUACCAGGAUAAAGCUUAAUUCCAAACUCCAUUUCUCGAUCCGAUGGCAAACCCAGUAACUCUUUUGGAAACACGUCAGGAAAAUCCCUAACAGUGCUAAUAUCUUGAACUCUUAACUCCUUACUAAUAGAAUUCAUCACAUAAGCCAAAUAAGCCUCACAACCUUUACCUAUAAACUUCUUAGCCUUCAUAGUCGAAGUCACAUUAGACAUAAAACCCGGUCUUUCACCCACUACAACUAUUUCCAUCCCAUCACUAUUCCUCAAAGUAAUCUGCUUAGUCUCAAAAACUACUCUAGCGUUAUGUUCAGUUAGUCAAUCCAUACCAAGUAUCACAUCAAGACCAUAAAACGAAAAUCCCAUAAAGUCAACAGAGAAAACAUGUCUUGGAUCAUAAGAGGACAUCUACGAUAAACUUUAUUCCCUACAACUCUAUCACCAAAUGAACUAAUAACAAUCAUACCCAAACCAAUAGUCUUAAUAGGAAUCUCUAACUUACAUGCCAAUUCACUCAAGAUAUAUGAAGGCGUCGAUACAAAAUCAACCAAAGAAAACAACAAAGUAGACUGCAAAGUAAAAGUACCUGCGAUAACAUCAGUCGAAUCUUGAUCCUCCGACUCCCUAACAGCAUAUAGGGGUAAGCAUUUGAUCAAAUCGAAUAAAAAAUUUUCGAGUUAAUCGAGUUUUCGAAUAUUAUUUUAUCAUCCUAACUCAAUUUGAAAUUUUCUCAAAUCGAGUCGAGUGAGAUGGAAUUCGAAUCGAAUCGAAUCGAAUCGAAUCGAAUCAAAUCGAAUCGAAUCAAAUAUAUUUGUUUGAGUUAAAUUUUAAAAAAAAUGACUUUAGUGUUGUUUAUUUUUAUGUAAUUUUUAAAAAAAUUCUUUAAAGUUUUUAAACAUGAACAAUGAAAAAUUGAAGUAAAUAAGUGAAUAAAUAAAAGCAACACAACAUCAACCCAAAUAAACAACAUGAGUCCAAAUAAAUAACAAAAACAAUAUAACAACAUUAUAAUAAAAAAAACCAUAAGAAAAAGUUCAAGUAAACAACAUGAGUCGAAGUAAAAAACAACAAGAAGAUUAUAAUAAAAAAAAACAUAAGCAAAACUCCAAAAUAUAGUAGAAACCUACACUAGUCCAAACCAAAAAAAAGAAAGAACGCAACAAUAGUCCAAUAAACCAACAACAAUAACACACCAAACUAAUAACAAUAACACAUCAGUUCGAAAAACAUUAUAGAAUAGUUUAAGUUUCUUCUUAUGCUUCAAACACCGUUGAUAAUCUUGAAACAUCUAGUAAAAGUAUUGAAUAAGUUAGUUAAAUGAUAAAAAAUGUUUGCAAAAAUAAAUUAAAUAAACAUUUAACUUUAUAAACUAAUGUUAAGUAUAUUACCUUAUUGAUCUUCGGGUAUUUUGGAUAAGUCUAACAAAUUUAAAAACAAAAGUGUUAGUUAAAUUAUGGGAAUGCUUACUAAUAUAAAUAACACAAAAGAUUAUUUUAUAAAUUAAAAUUUAUAUAUUACCAUAUUCCAUGGUUUGAAGUUCUUCAACAUAAUCUUCAAGAUUGAUGUCAUCAUUAGAUUUCUGAAGCCAAUCUUGUGUGCAAACCAAAGCCUGGACCAUGAGAGGAGUUAGAGAACGUCUAAAACUAUUGAGCACACAUCCACCUAUGCUAAAUGCACUUUCCAAGGCAACUGUUGAGAUAGGAAUAGCAAGAAUAUCUCGAACCAUUUGUGCAAGAAUAGGGAAUCUAGGAUUGUUCAUUUUCCACCACAAUAAUAAAUCAAAUAAACUUGAAUUGUUUACUUCUUCAUCCUCACCCAAAUAUUUAUCCAACUCAGAUUUGCUUUCUAAUCCAACUUGUUUCUUCUUCUUAAGGUAUUUUUGCUUGGCCAAGACCGUUUUCAUUUCUGACUGAUCUAUUUCCAUUGAACUUCAAAGAUUUGUCGAAGAACUAGAUCUACCUUAAAACAAUUGAAUUCUGCUGGCAUUAAAAGAAUACUCAUUGAACAAGCAAUGCAAUUCUUUAUCAAUCAUUUUCAUAUUGUCAUUACCAACAUUAAGAAAAAAACAAGUUGACCCUAAAGUCCAAAAAACUCCUUUUACAUCGCGGAUCAAAGAUGAGUGGAAACACAAAAAUAUACACAUUUUUUUCAUGCCCUUUUAAACUCAAAUUCAUGUAGUUUUGGUAAAAUUCUUGUUGAAAAAUAUAUAAUAAUUAUAAAAUAAUUAAAUUGUACUCAAAUUAUGAACACAUUGAAUUUUAAUUAAUUUUAUAUCAAAUUUUGAUUAAUUUUGAUUAUUUUUGACAGAUUUACACAAAGGGUGAAAAACGACUCGGCAGACACUACUAGAAGCGCAAAAUCGGGAAGCAAUUUUGAAGCAUCAAGGUGAAAUAAUUUUCAGCCUAAGACGGUCCAAAUUAUGUGUAUUAAUUCAUAAUAGAACUAAUUUUAAUUUUAAUCUAAUUUAAUUUGGGUUAAAUAAAUUAUUAUUAAUUUAUUGUGAAAAGGGGCCAGUUGAGCUGAACAGAGAAAAUCGAUCCAACCGAGCACUGGGCAGCCUAAAACCGUCCCACAUAUUGACCAAAUCAGCUUGUUUGGCUGAUUAUUUGGCUUGCAAAAUGGCCCUUUAAGACUCCUUCAAUUUGCAUUCAAACCCCUCCACUAUUCAUGCCUUUCAAGAGUUGCCCCUACCUAAAAAUAGCAUGUUUGAAAUCUUCAAACAUGCCACAUGUGUGGUUGACCAUGGGGGAGUCUUUGGCUGAUGAUUUUGGAUAUUUUUAGUAACAUUCUCAACCUAUAAAUACCCCCAUUGGCUGCUCACUUCAAAUACAUCUCAAACCUUCUCAUCUCUUCACUUCUCACUCGCUUUUUCUCUUCAAACCCCUUCCAUUGUCCUCAAUUUCUUCCCCAUUCCUUUUCCGAUUUCACCUAUUGAAAAAGAGUCCUUCAACCACCAUUUGGAGCAAAAUUCAAGUGUUCGUGGAAGCCUCGAUUCAACAAGAACAAGAAGAGAAGGAGGAGCGAAGCAAACUAGUCAAGCUUCGGAGAAACAUUAGAUUUGAUUCGUGUUCCUUAUCCUUUUAAUUUUAUUGUUGUUAUUAUGAACAUGUCUAUGAAUAUUUGUGGCGUUGAUGUGUUUAAUUUAAUUAAUAUGACCUAAAUUUAAUUCGUAUUAUAGGUUGAUUGCAUUUUGUCCACUUAAUUUAUUAAAAUUGUGUUUGUGUUGUUAUAGGCCUUGGUAAGAUAUUUGAUUACGUAAAAUAUUGACUAAGUUAUUCUUACAUUACAAUUGUAUGGUAACAAUGACUAAGUUACUCUUGCAUUACAAUUGUAAGGUAACUAAUGAAUUAAUUAUUUAAAUGGAUUGAAAUUGUAAUUAAUUGACACAAUACUUAAUCAGUGCAUGUUUAAUCAUCUAAGGUAGCUGAGGGUUAAAUUUUCAACAGUAUCUAAUUAUACAUUAGCCUUGCAUAACUUGCAAGAUUAUUGUGAUUAAACUGUUUCAAGGUAGGAAUACAUUGUUACCUCACGUAAUCUUUUAUGUGCUUAUGAGAUUGAAUUAAUUGUUUAAAUUGGCAUAGAGAUAUGUACAAGAGAUUAUUUUAAUUUCAUAGGUAUGUAUGUGCAUUAACACAUUUGCUUAUUAAAUUUUUUUAAUCGGUUGAAUUGACAUAGAGAUAUAGUCAAGAGAUAAAUGGAUUUUGGUAGGUAAGUAUGUUCAUAAGUUAGCAAAUUACCGAGUUACCGUGAAUUUAAUCGUAACAAUAUAAACAUGAGUUUAAUAAUUCUAAGUUAAGAAAUGUAAUUAAUCUAGCACAAUUAUGUCAUCUUGAUUAAAAUCAUCUUUUGAAAUCGUGCAUUGGAACUUUUAUUUUAUUUUUUUAUUUUACUUAGUUAAAAUCCUAGGUUUUAAUCACCUCCUCAAAUCAAAAUAUUUUUCUUCACCAAAGUGUUUUAAAUUGCAUUCAUAAAUAAUUCUUUUUAUAGUCCCUGUGGGUGCGAUAACUCGACAUUUACUUGUCACUUUAUUAUUUGUUGCGGUUGUGUACACUUGCACAUUUUCGUCGUUCCAAUGACCGCCAAGUAAACUAGCAUGUUGAUCUUGUUUCCUUCACCCUAAUACGUAUUAUACUUAUCUCUCAUUUUGGAAGUCAUAGAAAUUAUGUCUAGAUCUCCACAAUCUUGCCACCCAUCAAAAAGACAAUUCACAUCCGUCAGUACUUUAAAAGUGAAUGAGUGGUAACAUGCAAAGAUCCGGACACCUUCAGUGGAAGAUUAUAAAAAGGCUCUAAUACUUUUAUAACUCUUCGAACAAUUUCCUAAUCAUUAAACGUAGGAACUCCAUCUCAAAUAAUAAGGUCUAGAAAAAAAAUUAUGAUCAUCACGUACAUAUGAUUCAAAUGCACGCUCAUAUUUUUCUGCCACCUUUAACAUCAUAUAUGUUGAGUUCCAUCUAGUAGGCACAUCUAAAUAUAAUUGUGCCUUACUAUCUAUCAUUUCUUUUUUUACCUGUUGGUUGAAAUUUUUUCAACCUCGAUGGUGAUGCUCUUAUAUACCUCACAACACCUCUAACUCGAUCCAUAGACACAGAAGAACCUUCAUAAUGUAUUGCACAAUGAGAUUAAGAAUGUGUGCAACACAUCUCAUAUGCAUAAAUUUUCCAUUUGCAAAAGAAGCAUUUCGAUGAUUCAAUUUCUUUCUCAAAUAUUCAAUUACAACACUAUUGGCGGAUGCAUUAUCAACCGUAAUAGUGAAGACCCUCCUAAUCCCCCAAUCUCGAAGACACUUUUCAAGGGUUUGACCUAUGCUUUCACCUCUAUGAGUAGAUAUUGGGAAAAAUUAUAAUCCUUUUUUGCAAACUCUACUCAUCAUCCACCCAAUGUGUUGUUAAAACCAUGUAAGAUAUCCUUUGCAAUGAAGUCCAAGCGUGUGUCUUCAAACAAGCUCUACUUAUACCUUUUUCAAAAUAAUUCUUCAUUACAUUCUUCAUGGAGUUAAAUAAAUCAAGACAAUCCCUUCUAAUUGUCCAACAAGAUGGAAGACUAAACCGUGGGCAUGCUAUAUAAAGAAAGUAUUUGAAACCCUUUCCCUCUACAAUUUUAAAAGGUAAUUCAUCCACAAUUAUCAUACGAACCAAUGCCUUUCUAACAACAUCUUUAUCAAACACCCAAGUUGAUAAAUCCGUUAUUCCUUGGCUAACCUUUACAAAUGCUAAUUUUGAUUGCUUCAUGUUAGAAGUAUUAUCUCGAGGCCUUUUUAGGCAUGUUUUCAAAUGGUUAUUCAAAUUCAUUGUAGAACCCGAAGUUGAUUCCAUGAUAUAAGUAAUAUCACAAGCAUUGCACCUUGCUCUCUUCUCCUCCUCUUUAGUCACAAAUUUGGUGAAAUGGUUCCAAUAAGCUGCCCUUAGAGUAAUCUUUUUCGAACAUUUUCCUUGGUUGUUGUUUGAUCAUCUCUACUUGGGGAAGAAUUUUGUGAACUUUGAGUUGAACCAUCUCACUUUGUAUCACUCAUCUACAAGUAAAUAUUUGUUGCAAUCACUAACCAUGACCAAUAAUUGAUUUAUCUAAUGGAAGAUUAAAUUUAUUAAUGAUAUAAGAAAAGAUUAGUUUUUCAUAUAUAAUAAAAAAUCAUUUUAAAAUUAGAGGGUGACCAAAGAAUGAUGUUGUGGCAGGCAACACUUAAAGACCUACAUAUAUUUAAGACUAAGGUCUAUAUGGUGGAAAUUAUCAUUAGCAUCUAACUAAAAGCAAGUUGAAGCUUUUAUUACAAAAUUUUUUAGAUAUACCAGACCUGUCCUCAUCUUCCUCUAUGCAGUAAAAAUCAAUAAAAUGAAUUUAAAAAAAAAGCUGACACUCUUUUGAGUUUAUUUCUAAACGGGUUCUUAUGUUACAAACUUAUAGUGACAAGAAAAAUGAUAUCACAAACUUUAAUAACAAGUAGGAAAACUUCAAGAGUUGCAAUCUAUACACCUACGAAUCCUUCCAAUUCAAAGUUCUUUCUCCAGGCACAUUAAUAGUCCAAAGACUACUCAUAUUCUCAACCUAUAAUCCUUGGCUCAAGCAACUGGCAAAUAGAAACAAACAUGUAGAACUGGAAACAACUAUACACCCAUAUAUGUGAGUAUAAGUUUUAAAAUCAAACUCAAUAAAUCGGUUAAAUUAAAAAUUAAUUAAUAUAAUAGUACAGUAGCAUAAAUUAAACAAAAAUAAAGAAUAAAAUGGAAAUGGGUCUUGUUACUUUUAGAAAUUUUUGAAUAAAAAUACUGGGCCUUUAAUUAUGUGUUAAUUCAUUUUCUGAACAUAUAAUAUUUCAUUUUUUAUGAUUUAUUAAAAUAUUUUAUUUAAUUAUGUUAAAAUGAUAUUUUAAAAGCAAGCUGGUAAAGAAGGAAAAGAUAGUCAGCUAAAAUGUGGAGAGAAAUGGGAAGGUAUAAAGAAUAAAUUACUUUAAAGAAAAAGUCAUAUAAAAAGCAAAACCAAAUAGAGAGGUCUUUUGUUAUUGUUCAAGAUUUAGGAAGCUUCGUAACGCAUCAUGCCCCAUGCAACACUGCUGAGAUGAUCAAUCACUAUUUGUAUGUUUCUUAAAAGAUUCUUUUUAUAUAAUACAUUCAUUUUUUAAAUAUAUAAAUUAAUAAAAUUGAAAUUUCGAAAAUUCUAAUUUCAUUUUUCAAAUUUUAUUCGGGGUGUAAAUUGAUUUUUAUAGACUUAUAUAUAAGAAAAAGAAUAUCCUCAUACUAAUAUUAAUUUGUUGUUUUACAAAAAUGAUAAGAUUUUAUUCAUUUUUUAAUUAAAUUGUUGUUCAAUUGACUCAUAAGACUAAUAUCGUUAGGAACUUAUAUAUACUAAAUUAUGGCACAUCUAAUAUAACAUAAUAUUUAUUAAAAAUUAUGUUAAUUAGAAUCAAAUAAAACUUCAGCUAAAAUUGGGAUGUUAGUGACUUAAAAUCUCACUAGUUUUUAUUUGUGGAUUAAAUUUGAUUUUAAAUUAUUUUUUACAAUUUUAUAUAUAAAAAAUAAAAACACAUUCAUAAUAAUAUUUCUUACUUUUUAAAUAAGAGGGUGUCUGAUUGACUUAGUAUACCGUCUCAAUUAAGCACUUUAAUUUAGUAAAGAUAAAAAUGAAAGAUAUAUGUAUAUAAUGAAUUAAUUAAUUACAUCAUACAUCUCAGAACUAUGGGUUAAAUUCCAAAUUGAUCCAUGAACUUCAACGCAUUUCAAUUGAAGCCUCAAACUAAAGUUUUGUUCUAAGUAGGUACUUUUGUCAGUUUUGCAAUCAACUUUGGCAACUUAGAUAUGAGCAUUUAAAAAAUAUUUAAUAAAUUAUAUGUGAAUAGAAAGAACAAUGUUAGAACAAAGCUAAAAUUUAACGCCAAAACUGAUAGCUAUAUGAUGAAAUGACUUGAUUGAACCAAUAAUUUAAUUUAAGGAUUCAAUAGAAAUGUUUUGAAAUUUAAGAACUGAAUUAAAAUUUAACUCGUGACUUGUAAUUAACCCUAAAUGAAUUGAUGCGACAUGAAUGGAAAAUUGAAGCCUAGCUUUCUUGAGAUUUAACUUGCCAAAAAGAUUUGAUUAUUAAAAGAUUUGGGUGUCUAUUAAACUACAGUUUAAAGUUAGUUAACAUGAUAUUUAAAAAAGUCUGGUUGAUGAGUGUUUUUAGGGUUUUUUAAGGUUAAUUAAUAUUUUAUUUAUAAUUUAAGUAUGGUAAUCUAUAAUUUUAUUAAUCAUUUCAUGUUAUUUUAUUUAAUUGUAUUAGCAAAAUUCUUUAAAAAGAAGUAUAUUUUAUGCAUCGAUACUUUGGGAAAUUAAUUGGCUAACAUAUUUUCUGUAUUAAUAUUAGGUCGUGCUUAGUUAUUAAAAAAAAAAAGAAUUCUACAUCUUCCAAAACAAAAAAAAAAGACUUUGAACAAAGUGCUUAUUUUUAAUUAUUUUAAUAGUGUAAUUAAAUGUAUCAUUUGACCGUAUUAGGGAGGUGUUCAUGUUCCCUAAAUUAGGACUUAGGUAUAAGUAUCUAAGCAAAAUGUGUCUAGAUGUUUAAUUCACAUCACUAAGAAGAAGAGGCCAGAAAGCCAGAAAUGACUUCACCAGGAGAUACCAACAAACCAACCUUCAUAUUAGAAAAAAAUGGGAUAUUCUUAUCUAAAACAAAACUCUAGGGUAUCUGCACUCAAACAAGUUAAGAAUUCUUUCAUUUUAAAAAAUUAACCAAAGUAGCAUAGACAUUAAAUUUUAAAUGAAUUCCACUCAAACUUUGCAUAGAAGCUAUUUUUAUUAUUCUCAAUAUGAUGAUGAUUGUGCUCCAUUCUACAACAGCAAACAUGCAAGUGGAGAAGGAAAACACUGAGUGUUUAAAGAUGAAAAAUUUUUCGAAAAAAUAACCAUAAUGCAUUUAAACAAUAAAAACUAGAGAGAUGAAAAUAGAGCAAAAAUCAUUCAACUAUUCAUAAAUGUUUCGAGACAAACCCUCAAGAUGCAGAAAAUUCAAGCUUAAAAUGGAAGAGAACAGAGUGCGUCGGUUAGAAAGAACAACAACUCGAUUUGGAGGUAAGGAUUUUGAUUUGAGGGUUUGAAUGAACUGAUAAUUAAGAAGAAGAAGAAGAAGAAGAAGAAGAAGAAGAAGAAGAAGAAGAAGAAGGACAAAGGGUUUAUUUUAAAGAUUUUUGAAUAAGAAAGAGAAGAAUGGAGGUAGGGUUUAAUUUAGGAUUUUUUAAGAAGAAAUAGAUUUUGGGGUUUGAAUUGAAUGAAAAUUGAGAGAAAAGAAGAAAACUAAUUUGGACGAUAGAGUUUGCUGGAGCAAGGGUUUGAUUUGGGGGAGGAAUUGGGAAAAUUGACUUGUGGGUAGAUGUGUUAUGGGAGAAAUGGGAUAACAUAAAAUGGUUUGGGCUUGGGGGUAAAUUAGGUUAAAGUAAAAGCUUAAAAUUUAAAAAAAUUUUAAAAAAUAUAGUUUAUAUUCGGUUUAUUUGAAUUAUUCGAGUUAUUUAAAUUUGAAAAUUCAACUCUACUCGAACUCGAUAUUCAAACAACAUUCGAGUUUAUUUGAUUAAGUCGAUUAACUCGAUUCGAAUAAUUCAAAAUUCAAUAUUUUUUUUGAAUUGAAUCGAAUUUUUCUCACUCAUAAUAGCAUAAAAUCAAGCUAAUCCUCCAGACUCAACCUGUGUAGCAAUAGUAUGAGCAACAAUCCGCUACCCGCUCAGUCUCCCAGUACCUCUACUGCGACCACAACCUCUAGUAGGCCCAGUAACAGGUGUCGAACUCUGGGUCUGUGAAACCUCAGCCCUAAGUGGACAAUCCCUUAGAAAAUGUUCCUUCGACCCAUACUUAAAACAUCCACCAGUCAACUUACUACACUCUCUAGAAUUCCUACGCUCACAGUGCGCACAAAGCGGGCCAUCUAGAACUACUCGUUAAACCACUAGUACUAACCACAAUACUACUUUGCUGCCUAGAUUGACUCGGUCGAGUCCCACGUCUCGCACCUAUACCAGAGACAUGACUAUCAUGCCCUCUCUUAGAUGAUAGAGUCGAUGCAUUAUUAGAAGCUCUCUUACUAGAAUUAGUAACCACAAAAUGAGGCGGCUCAACUAAGGUCUCUUCCAUAGCCUUAGCCCUCUCAACUAGCUCAUCGAACAUCGCUAUAGGCUAGGCUACCAAAUAAACUUGAAUCUCGUGAUUCAGCUUAAACGAAACCUUUUACAACAGUCCCUCUCAAAAGGAACCAUCUCAAGAGCGUACUGUCUAAGUCACACGAAUUCAGCCUCAUAAUCAGCCAUUGAUAAAUCACUCUGAACUAGGUAAAAAAUUUACGCUUACGAGCCUCCAUAUACUUCUCACCCAUAUACUUCAUCUUAAAAGCCUCGAGAAAAUAGUUCCAAGUCAAUCUAUCAGUAAUCGUACCUCUUCUAACUGUCUUCCACCAAUGAUGAACCUCACCGUUGAGUAAGGACAUCACACAAUCCAACUUCUCCUCGUCAGAAUAGGACAUCUACUCGAGGAUCAUUUCAACUCCCUUCAACCAAUACUCAGCUACGGUUGGAUUAGUACCUUUCACUUCAUAAAACAUUUUACCACCCAACACCCUAAGACGUUCUAGUGGCAAACCUCAAUUAACAAGUACAAGAUUGGCAGAUGCAGGUGUAGGGUUAGCACCGACAAUCUGCUGAAACGCUUCUAUCAUGGGUUUCAUCAGAGGGCCUACACCCUUAUAAGUAUGUUCACUCUACGCGGUAGCACAAGAGGUGUAGAGGAUGUACCAUCCUCUUAAGCACUAGCUCUGACGUUAACACAUCUAGGAGGCAUAUCUAAUUAAUCUAGCAUAUAAACAAGUAAACGGUGUGACUGGCGAGAAUGAUCCAAGUUUCGUUCUUGCAAACAAACUUUAGGGUUAAAGACAAUCUGUUCCCUUUCCUACCCCACAUGCAAUUCAAUUAAAGACAUUUCAAACAAUUCCAUGCAAUUCAAUCAAAAUUAUGUCAACAAUUUCCAGAAAAUAGAGAGAUUUAAACCCAUGAGUUUCAAAACUCCAAACACAAAACAAUCACCUAGGUUCGAGAGUUAUUGAACCUAGGCUCUAAUACCACAAAAUGUAAUGCUCUAUACUCGGCCUAGUCACCAGGCCCAAAUACGAGAUGUCACACCACCAUCUUGUCUCAUUUUCAUCAAACAGGAAGUUAGAUUCAAGCAAACUGAUAAUUUUUUGUUAAGUAGAACAAGUUUUAAUAUGUCCAAAUAAUUAAUUGACAUUGUUACAUACAAACCAUUCAUUAUUCAAUCAUGCACACAACCAGAAUCAAACAUAAGGGCUAAUUAACAAAAUUUCAUAAAAAUGUCCGUAGGUAUCGAUACUGAUAUCCAAUUAUCGAUAUUUUCCUUAAGUGGUAUCGGUACCACUUGGAAAAACGAUACCAAAUGAGCAUACUAUUUCUCGGCCAAAAACCUGAGGUAUCAAAAAUUAUCGGUACCACUUACGAAUUAUCGAUACUUUAGCCCUGAGUAUCAAUACUCGAGAUAAGGUAUCGAUACCAAAUUCCUAUUCUGUCUUCCUGUACAUUUUAAUUCAUAGAGAUAUCAUUUUUAAAGCAUAAUAUCGAUACCUCUCUUGGACAUGAAAAUUACGGCAUAUAUGUGAACUAAGCCAUUCCAAAUGUGAUUUUAACCAACAUGCAUCAGCCACUAAGAUAAAUAAUCAUUCAUAUGGCUUAAUCGAUAGUACUAAAAACCAAAAACGAAUCCAAGCCAUUAUCAUCAUGUCAUUGUCAAUGCUUAAGUAUUCUAACAUAAAAAUAACAUGAAAUUCAUAUAAGCCAAAUCAAAAUGUCCAAAGAUCAACAACUCAAAAAGAUUAUAUCAUAUUGCCUAUUUCCCCAAAACAAAUAACAAUAAUAAAACACCUACGAAGAAUAACUAGACUUCUUUGGUUCACCCUCUCGAAAACAAGCUUUAACAAGCUCAGUGAAGGCAAGAAUUUCUACAACGCAACCAUGUCAUCAUGCAACACAACCAAUCAAUUACUCACAAGUACCUUAUUAAUAAGUCUGACAUCAUAUAUUAAUAAAUCAUGCGUUAUCUAAUAGUAUUUCCAUAACACAUAUAUACUCAUACAAGCAUAGAAAAUAUUCCACAUAACUACAUAAAAUAAGAUAAUAUGACACUUGAAUUAUGAAACAUGUAGUGAGCUUUAUCAUUACACAUUAGAUACACGGAUCUCCUUACACCACAUAGACUUGUAGAGUCAAACUUGCCCCAAAAGUGAAGUGUAUAGCUAAAGCUCUCCUUAUUUUCCCUUACAUGUCCCAUUGAAUGGAGCUUAGCUCUCAUUCUUAUUUUAAAAAAAGCUCUCAUUCUCUUAUCCCUCCAAACAUGUCCUAGGGCCUCAACGCUCAAAACCACUAUAUAUAUAAGUGAGUACUCACAAUCCUAUGGCAUGCCAACUAUACCCAAUGGUUCUAAGAUUACAAGGCCAAAAUAUUCAAAAGCAUCACAUAUUACUUACCGAUUAACCAUGCACCAACACUGCAUAUUUAUUGCAUAUAUAUAAUUGCACUUUAGACAAUAAACACCACAUCCAUAUAUCACAUAUCAUUCAUAUUAUAUAACCACAUAACUAUAAUAAAAGUAUAGUUCAAGAAAAAUUACACUCGAAAUUUAGAGUAGGGGUUUAGGCUACAUCAAAAUUCCCAAACAACACAUGACUCAUAUUUAUAAGUAGCAAUUCCAUACGCUCAUCAUUUUAUGCUUUUGUCGAAAAUUCAAAAGCUCGACUAAAGCUUCCCUAGCUCGUAGCAAGCUCUAACGAAUCCGAAGCUUUACACACAUAAAUCACACAAUAACCAUAGUCAACUAUCAACCAAGAAUUCACUCAAAUCAACUAAAACACAAGCUCAAGCCAAGUUCCUACGUAACUUAAAUUAUUAACAUAACAAACUUUAUAUACCAAUAUCUCGAUCUAUACUCAACCUUUUCACUUAAAAUCAGUUCCGUUCAUCUACUUAAUCAUCUACGCCUAAUCUACAAUCUUCAAACUAGACAAAUAUACUUAAUUCAUGGUAUCGACAUUUUUUGACAUCUUUUAAGAAAUUUUCACAAAAUUCAUUAAAACAUGAGAAAUCAUGAACGAAACUUCAAGAUAAGUUUAAAAACCUUCCAUGCUAAAAAAUUUGAAAAACUCUUUGAAACCAAGUUUUGACUCAAAAUCCUGAAAUCCACCAUUAAUGGCUCAAUUUUCAACUUUUAUUUAAAACAUGCGACUUGAGGGCUAAUAAUUCAGUUUUAGAGUCUAAAUAACAUUAAUAAAAAAUGGUGACAUGAAUGAUUACCUUUGUUGGAAGAAUGAAGGAGUUUUGUCAUAAAUCUAAAAACCCCAUGUUUGAAGAAGAUGGUGAACUCUAUAAAGUUUUGGGUGUUUUUCUUGGAUAUUUAUGGCAAUAAAUGACUUAAGAAUGUUAGAAGAUCAAGGUAUUAUGAUUUGAGAAUAAAAAAUCAAUGGAAUAACUAGGGAUAUGGCAAGGGGCGGCAAGUAUAAUGAAGAGAUAAGAAAUAGAUGUAAAAAACGUGUUGAUGGGGAAAAAAUAGGUUUAAUUUUAUAAAAUGAUAAAACUACAACAUAAAUGCCUACUAUUUUGACUUUGUUACAAAUUAGUCCUUUUUCAAAAUUAUGGGUUUCUAGAAUAGUUUUUCAAAACUUGAUUUGGCAGUUAAGAUGCCAUAGUCAAAAACACUGUCGAGUACCAACCUUACAAAAUUUUGAGCUCAUAUAGGCUAAAAUUCCUAAAAUACCCUUAAAACUCCUAAUCCCUAUUUUGGGGUGUUACAAUGGGCACCCCUAGAGGCCACGCAUCAGGGACUUAUUUGGUGUAGUUGUAGUAAAGCCUUAAGUUGAAAUUUUUAAAUAAUUAUUUUUGUUUAAUAAGGACGAAUGACUAUAAAAGCUUGGUACUAUAAAGUAUCAAAUUUAAUUAAAAAUUUAAUUUUGAAAUAUGUCGUUAUCCAUGGAACUGAGUAAUGGUUGAAUGGUAAGAAUAAUAGAUAUAUAAUUUAGUUUUGUCUAAGUUUGAAAGUAGAUCAGGGUAGAAAAUUUGUUAAGUUAUUCAGGUUAAUUGUGACACUUUGUACUCAGACCUGGUGAUCGGGUUGGGUAUAAUGUGUAACAGGUUAAGCAAAUGAAAGAGAAAGUUGAUAAAUAUUGGGCUGAGUAUGCUUUGGUAUUGUCAUGCACUGUAAUUUUAGAUCAACGUUACAAGUUAAAUUAUGUGCAAUAUUAUUUUACUACAAUUUAUGGUACUCAUUAGUUAGACUUUUUGCAAACCAUUCUUAGCAAUAUUAAACUCUUAUUUCAUUAGUAUGUUAAGAAAUCCAAACCCACAUCUUCCUCUUUUGUUGAGAGUUCCAAUGUUUCUGAUAAUUAUCUAGUUGAUUCUAGUUUGCGUCAAUUCAAUGUUAAUAGGGUUGAUUUAGGAUAAGAUUAUGAUGUGAUUGAUGAUUAUAAAUGAUACUUAAGUGAAUCCAAUACUAAGAAUGAAAAGUCACAGUUUGACCUUUAUUCUUGAGUUGAAUAGUCAAAUAGAUGUAUUAGAUUGUUGGAGCAAAAAUUCAAUUCAAUAUCAUGAGCUUUAUUAUUGGCUCCUAAUCUUUGGAAAAUUCCAAUAUCGACUGUAACUUCUGAGUCAACUUUUAGCAUGGGAAGAGAAUUAUUACACCUUUGAGGUGUUUGCUUAAAUAAAAAAUGAUUCAAGCCGUUGUUUGCUUUGAUGACUGGAUCUGAGCUAAGGGAUUUUCAGCAGAUACUUAUUAUUCUUGUUUUAUUAUAAUUUUAUAAAAUUUCAUCAGUUUGAUUAUCUAACUAUUUAUUCAUAUUUCUUAUCAGGAAUUGAUUGCGAGAAUGAUGAUGAUGAUGACGAUGACGAUGACGAUGACGAUUCUUUGAUUGCUUUAUAGGUUACUUUUCUAAUUGUUCACAAUUUAAUUUAGCUUACGAUUUAUAGCUUGUUAUAAAAUUAAAUAUGUUGAUUGGUUGAUAUAUAGAUAUUUUGGUUGGUUGAUUACAUUUUACAAGUUGUUUUUUGUGUUAUUUUAUUGCUAUUUUUGGUGCUAUUUCACUGUUCUUUUGUUGACGUUUUUAAUGUUGUAUCGCUACCAUUUCGCCGCCAUUUCACUAUUAUAUUGCUAAUAUUAUAUAGUUAUUGUUUGUGUUAUUUUUAAUUUUGCUACUAUUUUAGUUUUAACUAUCUUAGUAUAAAUACUUUUUUAAUAUAUUUUUAAUUUAUUAGAAAAUUUUUAUUUUAAUAUUUUUAGUGUAUUUGAUAUAUUAUAUUUUUUAAAUUUAUUUUAUAUAAUAAAAUAAUCUAAAAAAAUUUAAUACGAGCCUGGCUGGGCUCAAAUUUACCAUAUAUAAUCUGGAUCGAACUUAGGUAAAAUUUUAAAUUAAUUUUUAAAAUCGAACCUAAAAUUAAUUUGGCCCGCACCCGACGAUUAUCAGGUGUAGUCCAUAUUUAAGGAUAUUGAAUUAAUUUUUUUUUUAAAAAUAUCAAUUAUAUUACUUUCUCUCCGUUUACAUUCCAUUAUUUAUGAGUAAUCAUGUAUUAAAUAUUGUAUGUUUGAUUGUGGUUUACUAUCCUUAAUUAACGUUAUUGAUUGAAUUUUUAUAUUAUACUAAAAUAUGCAAUAAAGCUUUUAAAUAUAAUUUUUUUCAAUGAAGUAAGCUUUUCAACAACUCCAAAUCCUGUCUUCAAAAUACAAGAAUAGGAAUAAAAUUUAAAAAGUUGGUCUAAUACACAGGAUCAAGUUUUCCAUACCAAAUGGGUAGGUUUGUAAUAAAAUUGUGUUCGGUACCCCUUAUUAUUUCAAGUUAAAGGAAAUUUGUUUAUAUAAAAUUGGUAUGGGUCUCAUCUCAAUCUAAAUUAUGUUUAAAUGCUACCACAUUAUUCAUAUUAAUGCACUUGUUGGUUAUUUUAAGCAUUUAAGUUUUCGAAUUAAUAUUAUUAUUUCAUGGCAUACAAUAAAAUAGACACAGGAAUAGGAAUAGGAAUAGGAAUAGGCUCAUAUAACAUAUACAGUUUUGCAAAUAUAUUUACCAUUUUAUUCUUAUUAUUACACUCCAAUCAUGCAUUUCCUUUCCUACAUAGGAUAAAUCGAUUAGGCAGCACAAAUUAAUUAUAAUGCAUUUUACCAUAUUUCAGAAACAAAAUCUAUAUACAUUCCUAAUCUUAUAACUGAAAUUGAAAAUAUUCUAAAUAAAUAAAUAAAUUUUGUUUAAACAUAUAUACGCUUCCUUAAACCUUAAAUUUUUUAUUAUAUUAGGAUGAGAAGAUAAUAAAUGUUCAAAAAAUUCCUACUUCAUUUUAAAAUAUCAAAUAAAAAACAUGUAAUCUAUUUCAAAUUCAAAAUGUUUUCAAGUUUCAAAUUUGAAUACAUACUACUUUCGUUAAAAAAUACUUUUAAUAUUUAUUUUAAUGUAUACUUAAAACCCAGAAUUGAAAAAUAUUAAUUAUACCAUAUACUUAAAAGAAUUUAAUUACAAAUAUUAAUACCUAAUUAUUCACUCUUUAACAUAUUGUAUGCUAGACAUGCAAAUGUCCUUUUUUUCAAAUUAAAAAAAUGUAACUUAAUUGUACUUAAAACUUAACACAUAAAAAGUUACACACCAUUCUUUUUAAAAAUUUUGCCUUUUGGCAUGUCUCUACCUGCUCUAAUGUAGCACACUUCUAGGGUUUUUGUCUUGUUCACCUAUUUUGUUUAGGUUUCCGUAUUUGGUUGUUUCUGGUUGUGUCGAAUUUGUUUCUCAUCUUUUAUGUGAUGUUUUUAGGGUGAUUUUUGGUGAGUGAGAUAUGGCAAUGGAGAAUACAUUGGCGGGGUUGCAUAUCGCUAAUGAUGAGGAGGAGGGGCUGCAGCUUGUGGGAGUCUCGGAAGGUCAUAUCAAGAUGUAUGAUCUUUGUCUUGUAAGUUGUUGUCUUACAGCCAAGUGGUCCAAUUUUAGGCGAUGCGAAAUACUUUAGCGAAUCUAUAACAUCUAUUAGGGGGCAUUGAGAUUUCGGAUCUGGGGGAGAAACAGUUUCUAUUUCAGUUUUUUCAUUGAGUGGAUUUCGAAAGAGUGAUAAAAGGGUCGCCCUAGACUUUUAACAAUCACCUAUUGGUGUUUCACAUAUUAGGGGAUAUAGAGGACCCGAUGUUGGUACCUUUGGUUUAUUCUUAUUUUUGGGUUCAAGUUCAUAAGUUCCCUCCAAGAUUUUAUUUUGAAUCAGUGGCUAAAUAGUUGGGAAAUUUUAUUGGGAGGUUUUGAGGAGUAUGGUAUGCGGCAGGUAACUAGGGGUUUUAGGCAUUUCAUGUGUAUUAAGGUGAAAAUCGACAUUAGAUCCCCAUUGAAAUGAAGGAAGAAGAUUCAAUUGUCUCAUCAAAGCCAUAUUUAUGAGAGGUUUUAGCAUGAAAAACUAACGUUUUGUUUUCUAUGUGGUUGCUUGGGACAUAAUGAUGGUUUUUACCCGAUUUGGUUAACAACGGAGGUGAAUGAUAUUGAAAUGGGAUAGGACAUCUCGUUACAGGCUCUUUCGGUGAGGCGAGCUGUUAUAGUUGAGAGUGUUUGGUUACAAGGGGGAAGUGUGAUAGGGUCUGGUGAAAAUUUUUUUGAAGCAAUAGGGGUAAUGAGUGUUAAGGGUUUUUUUGUGUUUGAAGGGAUAAAUAAUAUUAAUCCAAUAUUGGGUAUGAACUUGGAAGGUAGAUCUAGGGAGGGAUUUGAGAGGUUUGAGAACUUUGUUUUGGGGUCUAGGCAAGAUCCAAUGAACCAUGAUUUAAAAGAAGUAUUGAUUGAUAGUUUGAAGGGGAAGAAGAGACAAAUGACAACUAUAUUAUUUGGUAGAGUUUCUGAGAUUUUAGAUUUGGGGAGAAAGUGGGUAAGCAAUCAGUGGCUUACCAAGAUAAAUUAUCAAUGUCCGCCAAGGGGAAAGUCAAUUGACAACAAUGAGGAUUAUGUGUUGAAAUGUUCGUGGAUUGGGGAGUUCACAAGGAAAUAGGAGGCAUCAGAAAACGUUGAAACUUCAUAAUCCUCAAAUUGUAUUCUUUAUAGAGGCAAAUCUAGAUUUGAACAGAAUGGAGAAAGUGCGUAAGAAGGGUGGGUUUUUGCAUGGUAUAAACAUCUCAGCAAAUGGAUUUAGGGGCGGGCUUAGUUUGGGUUGGCAUUUCGAUGUGGUUGUUAGUUUAAAGAGUUUCUCAAAAAAUCAUACUGAUGUGGAGAUUCAGGAUUAUGGAGACGAAGGUAAAUGGAGGAUGACAGGAUUUUAUCAUUCUCUUGAUUUGAGGAGUCGAUUUGAUUCAUGAAAUCUCUUACGGGGGUUGGGUAGGGAUCAAAUUUUACCCUGGAUGGUGUAUAGGGAUUUCAAUGAGAUAUUCUAUUCAUUUGAGAAGAAAGGGGGGUUAAGCGGGAGGGGGUUGAAUGGAGGAAUUUCAAAAAGUGUUAAUGGAUUGUCAAAUAGAGGAUCUGGGGUUUGAGGGGCCCUGGUUUACUUGGGAGUGAGGGAAUUUUGAAAUGAUAAUAUCAGGGAAAGGUUGGAAAGAAGUGUUAUAAAUUCAGCUUGGUGGGAUAAAUUCUCAAACUUCUCAAUACGAUAAUUGCUGUUCUCGUUUUCUAAUCACUACCCUUUGUUGGUGAACAUAAAUAAGGAUGAGAGGUAAUGGAGAGAGAUUAGAUUUAGAUUCAAAGCUUGUUAGAUAUUGGAGGAAUCUUGUGAGGUUGAGAUUCACCGGCAUUAAGAAAGCAGUGUGGGGACUGUUCCUCAGCGUUUUGAAUUGUUGGGGUUGGGAUUGAAGGCAUGGGGUGAUGGAUUAAGAAAGGAAAAUGGGGAAUAUUAGAAAACUAUGCAAUGAAAUUUUUGAGCUCAAUGAGGAGGACAUGACUGAUGAUAAUAUAUCAGACCUUUUGGGGACUAAGUUAAAGUUGAAUCUAAGUAUGGAAAAGGAGGAAAUUUUACAAAGAGUGCAUGUUAAUUGGUUGAAGUAAGGUGGUUGAAAUACAAGUUUGUUUCAUCUGGUGGUGUUAUAAAAGAAGUGUUUAAAUAGAGUUAAAGGGUUGGAUAAGGGUGAUGGUCAGAUUGUUAGCGAUGAUAGUGAGGUAGAUUGCAUUGCAAAUGAGUAUUUUAUGGAUUUAUUCACCUCCAAAGGAACGAUUAAUUUUGAUCAUAUUCUGACGUGGGUGCGACGUGCAUUACGGAUGAUAUGAAUAAAUGUUUGACGACAUGUUAUGAAAUGGAGGAGAUUGCCACCACCUUAAAAGCUAUGGCGCCUACUAAAGCUUCAAGGGCUGAUGGUUUUCUUGCAUUAUUUUUCCAAACUUACUAACAUAUUGUGGGGUAGGAUGUUGGGUCUUAAGUUCUUGAGGUUCUCAAUGGAGGUACGUCUCUAGCAGAAAUAAACCAUACCAGCAUUGUUCUAAUUCCAAAAACAUUUAAUCCUACUAGCAUGAAAGAUUUUCGUCCUAUUAGUCUAUGUACGGUGUUGUAUAAGAUCAUCUCUAAAACUAUGGUUAAUCGAUUUCAAAGUGUUUUAAAUUGUUGUGUUGAUGAAGUGCAGAGCACUUUUGUCCCUAGAAGGUUAAUAGCAGACAAAAUUCUCCUUGCGUACGAAAUUUUAGAGAACAUAUUGCGUUAAAUCUUGACAUGAGUAAGACAUAUGACAGGGUAGAGUGAAAUUUUGUUGAGAUGAUGAUGAUUCAUAUGGGCUUUUUGAGAUUUUGGGUGGAUUUUAUUAUUCAUUAUGUGAGUACGGUAUCAUGCUUUGUAGUUAUUAAUGGUAAAGUGGGGAGGGUUUUUCACCAGGAAGGGGUCUUCGACAAGGGGAUCCACUUAGCCCGUAUUUGUUUCUAACUCGUAGUGAAGGGUUGUCCUCUUUAAUGCAUAUGGCUUGUUAGGAUGGAUUGGUUAGGGUUGCAAAAAUAUGCCGAAGGAGCUCAAAGGUUUCCCAUCUUUUAUUCGUGGAUGAUUGUAUUUUAUUUAGAGGGGCUACGAUGGUUCUAAAGCAGAUUCUUAAGGAAUAUGAGUUGGCGUCGAUGCAGUGUGUGAACUAUGAAAAGUCAGUCGCUUAUUUAAUUUUGAAUGUGAGGGAGGAAAAUAGGAGAAUGAUUUUGGAUUGCUUGGGGGUUCGUGUAUCUUCCAAUCCUGAGCAAUAUUUGAGUUUGCCAAACAUAGUAAGGAGAAAUAAAAGUAGGGUUUUUCAAAGGUUGAAUGAUCAGUUGAAGAGUCAUAUUAAUAGUUCGUGUAUGAUGCCAUUGUCCCAAUGAAGAAGGAGGUUUUUAUAAAGAGUGCGUUACAUGCUAUUCCCACUUUUACUAUAUCUUGUUUUCUAUUGCUAGCUUCGUUGUGUUUGGAUUUGGAACGUAUUAUCUAUUGUUUUUGGUGGAAAAAAGUUGGGAAAAAAAAGGGAUCCAUUAGUGUGUGUCGUCAAAACUAUGCGAACUGAAAGAGAAUGGAGGUAUGGGAUUCUGUAGCCUUGGAAAAUUUUAUAUUGCUCUUUUGGCCAAACAUAGUUGGCGUUUGAUUAAAAAUUAAAACUUGCUGUUAGAUAGAUCUCUUAAAGCCAAAUACUAUCUCACUACUCAUUUUUUGGAUGCAAAGUUAGGGACUUACCUAUCUUAUACCUGGAAGAGUAUAUAGAUGGUGAUGGAUCUACUCAAGGAGAGAAUGGGCUAGCAGGUGGGGACGGGUUUGAAAAUUAACAUUUGGGACGAUAUAUAGGUCCCUAGAAUAACACAAUGUAGAAUUCAAAAUUUGGAUGGUACUGUGUCAUUCUUUAAAGUUUCAGAUCUGAUUUUCCAAAAUGAAAGACAAUGUGAUGUAGUAAAACUUACUAAGGUGUUUUAGUGCUAAGGUGGUGGGUAAAAUCCUAUGCAUCCCGCUUGCUUUGAAUCCACAGGAUGAUAUUGUUAUUUAGGUAGAAGAACCUUUAAGUGAUUAUUCAGUCAGGAGUGGCUAUAUGGCUCUAUUACAAAGACUUGGAACGUCUAUUCACACAGCAAAUGAUAGUAGUUACUGUAAUUUUUACAAGAAAAUUUGGCGACUCAAUUUGCCAGAGAAGAUCAAAAUUAUAGUCUGGUGCAUAUUUAAUAAUCUAAUUCCUAAUUUCCACAAUGUAUACAACAAACAGUUAGCUGGAUCUGCUGAGCCCCAAGUGUGCGAGUGGUGUAGAGAAUUUGUAACAUGGCUUUCGAGACUGUCCAUUUGAUGCGAAGAUUUGGAAUCUGUUUCUGUAAAAAUAGAAUGUUGAUAAUGGUAAGAAAAGAGAGAAAAAAAUAGAACAUUCAGAUUUUAUGUGGAAACCCUUUUGGAAAAAAACCACGGGCAGAGGAGAAGAAAAUUCACUAUGUCGAAUUCGAAUCAAAGUCAAAUAGAAGUAAUAUAGAAAAAUAGAACACUCAAAGACGACUGUGUCUAUUUAUAGGUUUGUAAAACCAUAUUCUAAUCAAAGUCAAAUAGAAGUAAUAUAGAUAGGUUAAAACACCUUAUUCUAAUCAACAUCAAAUACAGGAAGCAUACUUCUAUGAGGAUUUCACCUCGGCCUUUGCCAUCGUAGAUCCCCCUAUAUUGCCACUUGUAUUUUUAUUUAAUAAGAAUUUGGGUCAUAUAUCUUUAAAAAUCUCCACCUUGACACGAACUCUCAACAAACAAGUUCUCCACCUCUUCCAUGAAACCCCUUAAGGGUUUAUCUUCAUCAAUGAACACCAACCAAGUGUAAGCAAUGCUCAAACUUGGUUAUCAGAAGUGACUUAGUCAUCAUAUCUGCAGGAUUAUCAUGAGUAUGGAUUUUGCCCACAAAAAUAUCACCACGAGCAAUAAUAUCAUGAACAAAAUGAUAUCGAACAUCAAUGUGCUUUGUUCUCUCAUAAAACAUUUGAUCAUUCAUAAGGAAGAUGACACUUUAACUGUUACAAAAUACUAUACUAAUUUGAAGGUAUUCAUUGAGUUCAGUAAAGAGCCCCUUUAACCAAAUAGCUUCUUUACAAGCCUCACUAAUUGCCAUGUACUUAGCUUCAGUGGUAGACAAAGCGGCAGUAGUUUGAAAGUGGCUUUUCAACUGAUUGCACAAUCCCCAAUUGUAAAGACAUAACCUGUGAGAGAUCUUUUUUUUAUCAAGGUCUCCAGCAAAAUCAGCAUCAACAUACCCAAUGACUCCAUCUCUAUUUCAUCCAAACUGUAAGCAAACAUCAGUAGUACCUCAUAAGUAUCUCAAAAUCCACUGAAUUGCUUUAUAGUGUUCUUUACCAAGAUUCACCAUGUAUCUACUCACUGCACUAAUUGCAUAUGAAAAAUCUAGAUGUAAGCAAACCAUAGCAUACAUGAGAGAUCCCACUGCACUAGAAUAUGAAAGAUGUGACUGUAGAGACAAAGCCGAUGAAAGUCAGAAAUGGGCUGCUAAAGGAGUACUAACAAGCUUAGCUCUCUGUAUAUUGAACCUGGAAAGAACUUUCUCAAUGUACCUUUUCUGAAUUAGAUACAAUUUACUUACUUUUCUAUAUCUGAGAAUCUUCAUACCAAGUAUCUUCUUUGUUGCUCCCAAAUCCUUCAUCUCAAAUUCUUCACUAAGUUGAGCUUUGACUUUUCUGAUCUCUCCUUUAUUUUUUGCCUCUAUCAACAUGUCAUCACUAUAAGGGAGUAGAUAUACAAAAGAGCCAUCACUGUUUUUCUUAAAAUAAACACAACUGUUAAAGCUACUUCUUUGGAAAUUAUGAGAAGUCAUAAAGGAAUCAAAUCUCUUAUACCAAUGUCUUGGUGACUAUUUCAAACCUUAAAGGGACUUUUUCAGUAAGCAAACAUAGUCCUCUUUUUUUGAUAUUGUAAACCCCUCUGGUUGUUACAUAUAAAUGUCAUCUUCAAGUUCUCCAUGCAAAAAUAUUGUUUUUACAUCUAACUAUUCAAGCUCCAAAUCAUACAUGGCCACAAUACCAAGCAAGGCUCGGUUCGAAUUGUGCUUCACAACUGGAGAAAACACAUCUGUGAAGUCCACACCUAGAAUAUGACUGUAACCUUUUGCAACAAGACUUGCUUUAUAUCUGGGCUCUUUAACUCUUGGAGUCCCUUGUUUGCUCUUAAACACCCAUUUACAACGAGCAACCUUCUUACCUUUAGGAAGUUUCACAAGAUCCCAUGCGCUGUUCUUGUGGAGUGAAUCCAUCUCUUUUCGCAUGGAAAACAUCCACUUUUCUGAGUCUUCAUAGCUAACUGCCUCGGACUAAGUAGAUGGCUCUUGAUUUCCAUUUAUAUCUUCUGCCACAUUUAAAGCAUAAGCAACUAGACCAGCCUCGACAUACCUUUUUGGAGGUUUAAUUUCUCUUCUAGUUCUAUUUUUUGCAAUAGAAUAUUGUGGUGAAGAAGGGACUCUAUUCUGAUUUUCUGUACUAACUUGAGAAGUAGAAUCUGUUGUAGAUACUAAAUCAAUAUGAAGCUCCACCUGCUUUUGCUGUUCUUUAUUUGAAGAGUCUUUAAGAGAUAAGAUAGGUAGCAUAACAGUUUCAUCAAAAACAACAUAUCUGCUAAUUACAACUUUUCUAUUUUCAGGAUACCAUAACUUAUACGCUUUUACACCAGCCUUAUAACCAAGAAAAAUACAUUUAAUAGAUCUUAGUUCCAAUUUUCCAUUACCAAUAUGAGCAUCCGCAGGACACUCAAAAAUCUUUAAAUCAGAAUAAUCAGCAGGCUUACCAGACCAUAUCUCUUAUGGAGUCUUUUUCUCAAUGGCAAUGGAUGGAGAUCGAUUGAUAAAAAAAAUAUAGUGGAGGCUACUUCAGCCUAAAACGACUUCAAUAAAUUAGCAUUCAAGAAUAUACAUCAAACAUUCCCCAUGAUCGUUCUGUUUAUUCAUUCUGCAAUGCCGUUUUGCUGUGGAGUAUGACGAACUGUCAAGUGUCUCACGAUCCCUUCUAAUUUGCAUAAUUUGUUAAACUCAUCAGAAUAGAACUCCAAGCCAUUAUAUUUUCGGAGGUUGUUUAUCUGUUUUCUUGUCUGUUUAUCAACCAUAGUUUUCCAAGACUUGAAUACGGAAAACACAUCACUUUUUUGCUUUAGGAAGUAUGACCAAACUUUUCUGGAAAAAUCAUUAAUAAAAGUUAGAAUAUAAUUAGAUCCACCUCUCGAAGGCACUCUGGAUGGUCCCGAAAGAUUAGAAUGAAUAUAAUCUAAUGUCCUCUUUGUGUUAUAGAUUCCUCUAGUGAAUCGAACACUCUUUUACUUCCCAAAAAUGUAGUGCUCAUAGAACUUUUGUUUGCUAAUGCCUUACCCAUUAGAAAGUCCUCUUUUGCUCAAUUCUGUCAUGCCAUUUUAACUCAUAUGACCUAGACGUAUAUGCCAAAGUCUAGUAACAUCAUCAUCUGACAAGGAAGAUGAAGCAACUGUAGCACCACUAGUAACAAUAGAAACUGUAGCAUCACUAGUAACAAUAGAACCCUACAAAACAUAUAACUUGGCAUCUUUUCUUUGCCAUUUCAUCAUGACAAGGGAACCUUUGGAAAUCUUUAAAACCCCACUUUUGGCUAUGUAUUUGUACCAUUUUGAAUCAAGAGUACUCAAUGAAAUCAAUUUUUUUCAAUUCUGGAACAUGUCGUAUGUCACUAAGUAUUCUAACAACUCCAUCAAACAUCUUAAGCUCCAUUUGUUUGCCAGUAAAAUAUUUUCCAGAAAAUAAUUUCUGGAAAAUGAUUUACUUUUCUGGAAAUGAUUUACUUUUCUGGUGUUGGGAUGAAAUUGUGUAAAAUAUUUUCUGUUGUUUAGCAGAUUUCCUGAAAAUAUUUCAUAAAAGCUGUUUUAAAUUAAACAAAUAUAUAUUUAAGAAUUUAUUAUCUUUUCAUUGUUUAAUUGAGUUUAUUAUAUAUAUUAAUAAAUUUAUAUUUUAAAUUGUUUUUACAUAUAUUGCAAUGAUUUAUUUAUAAAUAAAUAAAUCAAAUUAAAUAAAUAAUAAUACUCAAUUAUUAAGCUAAAAUAUUAACUUUCAUAAAUUGAAAACAACCAAAGCAAUAAAAUCGAGCUAAUAUGUCAAUUAUACAAUAGUAAUGAUCAGUAGUAUGGGUUAAUUCAUAUAUUUCCAUAUCGAGCUAAUAAGUCAAUUAUACAAGUACAAUGAUCAGUAGUAUGGAUUAAUCCUUGUAUGUCCUUUAUUGAGUGGAAAUAUUGUAGGCCUUUAUCAACCCAUCCAACAUUUACACAAGCAAAAAGAACCCAACAAUAACAAAGUGCCUAUAGCAAUAUCAACCAACACCAAAAUAUUGCCUUUACCAAAAACAAAACAGUGGCUAUACCAGCACAAACUCUGUACUAAUACCAACCAAAUCCAAUAUCCAAUAUCAAACUAACAAAAUACCAAAGCUCUUCGCUUGCUUCUAAUUUGCAACUGAUUCUUGUGUGCAUAUAGGAUCUCCACCAGUUUGGUGUUUCCUAUUUGGUGAUUUCAACUUCACUGAAGAGCUUGCAGUUGAU